rnacentral:tRNA from 1 species
GCUCCCGUAGCUUAAUAGGAUAGAGCAGUGGUUUCCUAAACCGCCGAUCCCAGUUCGAUUCUGGGCGGGGGCA